AUGGGGAGUGAGCGCGCUCUCAAGGCCAAGGCGCAAGUGCGCCGCCGCGAGUUCGAGGAGCUCCGCUUCAAGGAUGGCGAGUCCAUCGAAGACUUCGCGCUGCGGCUCUCCGGUCUCGUCGCCGACCUCGAGCUGUACAGCGAUCCUGUGACGAAGCACAAGGCCGUCCAGAAGUUCCUUCAAGUCGUGCCGCGCAAGUACCGGCAGAUGGCGAUGGCAAUAGAAGCGCUCAUCGAUCUCAAGACGAUGUCGAUCGAGGAGCUCACCGGGCGUCUCUCGGCUUGCGAGGAUCACUAUGACCUCGACGCCGCCAAGCAGUCCACCGGCCAACUCAUGUACACCGCGGAGGAGUGGGCUGCUCGUGAGCGUCAGUUCGCCGGUGGCAGCUCGUCGCACGGCGGCAACGGCAAAAACAAGUCGCCGGGAAAGCCUAAGGCACAGAGCGGUAGCAAACCUGCGUCGAACAGCGGCGGGGCGGGCGGAUCAGGUACAUCCAGCGGCAAGAAGAAAGGCAAAUGCCACCAUUGUGGCAAAGUCGGACACUAG
rnacentral:rRNA from 1 species